AGAGUUUGAUCAUGGCUCAGAUUGAACGCUGGCGGAAUGCUUUACACAUGCAAGUCGAACGGCAGCACGGGUGCUUGCACCUGGUGGCGAGUGGCGAACGGGUGAGUAAUGCGUCGGAACGUACCGAGUAAUGGGGGAUAACGCGGCGAAAGUCGCGCUAAUACCGCAUACGCCCUGAGGGGGAAAGUGGGGGAUCGCAAGACCUCACGUUAUUCGAGCGGCCGACGUCUGAUUAGCUAGUUGGUGGGGUAAAGGCCUACCAAGGCGACGAUCAGUAGCGGGUCUGAGAGGAUGAUCCGCCACACUGGGACUGAGACACGGCCCAGACUCCUACGGGAGGCAGCAGUGGGGAAUUUUGGACAAUGGGGGCAACCCUGAUCCAGCCAUUCCGCGUGAGUGAAGAAGGCCUUCGGGUUGUAAAGCUCUUUCAGCUGGAACGAAACGGUACAGGUUAAUACCCUGUGCUAAUGACGGUACCGGCAGAAGAAGCACCGGCUAACUACGUGCCAGCAGCCGCGGUAAUACGUAGGGUGCGAGCGUUAAUCGGAAUUACUGGGCGUAAAGCGUGCGCAGGCGGAUUGUUAAGCAAGAUGUGAAAUCCCCGGGCUUAACCUGGGAAUGGCAUUUUGAACUGGCAGUCUAGAGUGCGUCAGAGGGGGGUGGAAUUCCACGUGUAGCAGUGAAAUGCGUAGAGAUGUGGAGGGACACCAAUGGCGAAGGCAGCCCCCUGGGAUGACACUGACGCUCAUGUACGAAAGCGUGGGUAGCAAACAGGAUUAGAUACCCUGGUAGUCCACGCCCUAAACGAUGUCAACUGGUUGUUGGGGGGAGUGAAAUCCCUUAGUAACGAAGCUAACGCGUGAAGUUGACCGCCUGGGGAGUACGGUCGCAAGAUUAAAACUCAAA
rnacentral:rRNA from 1 species